UAAAAAUAUUAACAGACUCCAAGGUCCCUCUCACAGCUACUGUUUUUGAGUCAGGUUUUGUCUAAUCUGUACUUGUACCUUUGGUUUUUCCUGCCCAAAUAUAAAACUUUGCU